AUGCAACCUACUAGAAGUAAGCUAGCUAGAGCAAGGAGGAUUGCACUAAAGAUAAUUCAUGGAGAUGAACUUGAGCAGUAUAAUUUACUGUGGGACUUUGCAGCUGAAAUCAGAAGAUCAAAUCCUGGCAGUACCAUGCUUGUGCAUGCAAACAAUGGAAAGUUUGAUAACUGCUACAUGUCCUUAGAUGCAUGCAAAAGGGGUUUUCUGCUAGCUUGUAGGCCCAUUAUAUGCAUUGAUGGGUGUCACAUUAAGAACAAGUAUGGUGGAGUGAUGCUGACAGCUGUUGGAGUUGAUCCUAACGAUUGUAUCUUUCCCAUUGCAAUUGCCAUAGUAGAAGUGGAAGAUACUGUCACAUGGAAGUGGUUUUUGAACACAUUGAAGGAGGAUCUGAACAUACAAAACACAGCACCAUGGACAUUGAUGAGUGAUAGGCAGAAGGGCUUGAUCAAUGCUGUCAAUGCAAUGUUUCCUGAUGCACAACAUAGAUUUUGUGUGAGGCAUCUGCAUCAAAACUUUGCAAAAAACUGGAAAGGUGAUGUAUUCAAGAAUAAAUUGUGGCAAAUUGCAAGAGCUACACAUGAGGCAGACUGGAAGAAGUAUAUGCAAGAGAUGAAAGAGUUGGACCAGGGGGCCUAUGAGUACUUGGAUGCAAUUGACCCAAGGCAGUGGUGCAAGGCCUAUUUCCAUGAACUCCCAAAGUGUGAUUUGCUUCUUAACAACAGCUGUGAAGUGUUCAACAAGUAA
rnacentral:rRNA from 1 species